GUGUUCACUUCAGCAGUACAUACACUAAAACGGGAACACCCCAGAGAAGACUGCGUGGUCCCCGAGCAAGGAUGACCAGGCGAAUCUGUAAAGCAUUACAUAGUUUA
rnacentral:snRNA from 1 species